rnacentral:rRNA from 1 species
GCUGGCGGCAUGGAUUAGGCAUGCAAGUCGAACGAGAAGCUCUAGCUUGCUAGAGUGGAUAGUGGCGAAAGGGUGAGUAACGCGUGAACAAUUUGCCCCUAAGAUGGGAAUAGCCUCGGGAAACUGGGAUUAAUACCGAAUGUGAUCUUCUGUCGCAUGACAGAAUGAUUAAAGAUUUAUUACUUAGGGAUGAGUUCGCGUUCCAUUAGCUUGUUGGUGGGGUAACGGCCUACCAAGGCGACGAUGGAUAGCUGGUCUGAGAGGAUGAUCAGCCACACUGGGACUGAGACACUGCCCAGACUCCUACGGGAGGCUGCAGUCGAGAAUCUUCCGCAAUGGGCGAAAGCCUGACGGAGCAAUGCCGCGUGCAGGAUGAAGGCCCUUGGGUCGUAAACUGCUGUCACCGGGGAAGAACAUAAUGACGGUACCCGGAGAGGAAGCACCGGCUAACUACGUGCCAGCAGCCGCGGUAAUACGUAGGGUGCAAGCGUUGUUCGGAUUUAUUGGGCGUAAAGGGUCCGCAGGGGGUUUACUAAGUCUGAUGUGAAAUCUCAUGGCCCAACCAUGAAACUGCAUUGGAAACUGAAAGACUAGAGUACUGGAGAGGUAAGUGGAAUUCCUGGUGGAGCGGUGGAAUGCGUAGAUAUCAGGAGGAACACCAAGAGCGAAGGCAGCUUACUGGACAGUUACUGACCCUCAGGGACGAAAGCAUGGGUAGCAAACAGGAUUAGAUACCCUGGUAGUCCAUGCCGUAAACGUUGUAUACUAGAUGUGGGAGGAUUUAUCCCCUUCCGUGCCCAAGCUAACGCGAUAAGUAUUCCGCCUGGGGAGUACGGUCGCAAGAUUAAAACUCAAAGGAAUAGACGGGGACCCGCACAAGUGGUGGAGCAUGUGGUUUAAUUCGAAAAUACGCGAAGAACCUUACCUAGCCUUGACAUUGAUUGAAUCCCGCAGAGAUGUAGGAGUGCCCUUCGGGGAACAUGAAAACAGGUGCUGCACGGCUGUCGUCAGCUCGUGUCGUGAGAUGUUGGGUUAAGUCCCGCAACGAGCGCAACCCUCGUCCUUAGUUGCCAGCAGGUUAAGCUGGGCACUCUAAGGAGACUGCCUUCGCAAGGAGGAGGAAGGUGAGGACGACGUCAAGUCAUCAUGGCCCUUAUGGCUAGGGCUACACACGUGCUACAAUGGGGCGUACAGAGAGUUGCGAUACCGCGAGGUGGAGCCAAUCUCAUAAAGCGUCUCUCAGUUCGGAUUGGAGUCUGCAACUCGACUCCAUGAAGCUGGAAUCACUAGUAAUCGUAGAUCAGCAAUGCUACGGUGAAUACGUUCCCGGGUCUUGUACUCACCGCCCGUCACACCUGGGAGUUGAUUUCACCCGAAAUUGGGAAGCUAACCUUCGGGAGGCUACCACUUACGGUGGAAUUAGCGACUGG